CAAUCAAGCGUCUUUAAGGGCAUUUGGUGGAUGCCUUGGCGUUGAGAGGCGAUGAAGGACGUGACACGCUGCGAUAAGCCGUGGGGAGCUGCGAGUAAGCUUUGAUCCGCGGAUUUCCGAAUGGGGAAACCCGGCCAUUUAGGCCAUCCCGCAAGGGAAGCGAACCCGGUGAACUGAAAUAUCUAAGUAACCGGAGGAAAGGACAUCAACCGAGACUCCGUUAGUAGUGACGAGCGAACGCGGACCAGGCCAGUGGUCCGGAUGGGAACAACCAGAAACAGCUGGAAAGCUGUGCCAUAGUGGGUGAUAGCCCCGUAUGGGUAAUGUCCCGACCGGAUCCUUGAGUAGGGCGGAACACGUGAAAUUCUGUCUGAACAUGGGGGGACCACCCUCCAAGCCUAAGUACUCCUCAACGACCGAUAGCGAACCAGUACCGUGAGGGAAAGGUGAAAAGCACCCCGAUGAGGGGAGUGAAAUAGACCUGAAACCGGAUGCCUACAAGCAGUCGGAGCCACUUUACGUGGUGACGGCGUACCUUUUGUAUAAUGGGUCAGCGAGUUACUUUGACGUGCAAGCCUAAGCCGUUAGGUGUAAGCGAAGCGAAAGCGAGUCUGAAUAGGGCGAUUUAGUACGUUUGAGUAGACCCGAAACCGGGUGAUCUAGCCAUGGGCAGGUUGAAGAUACGGUAACACGUAUUGGAGGACCGAACCCACUUCUGUUGAAAAAGGAGGGGAUGACCUGUGGCUAGGGGUGAAAGGCCAAUCAAACCCGGAGAUAGCUGGUUCUUUGCGAAAACUAUUUAGGUAGUGCGUCAGAUAUUACUGCAGGGGGUAGAGCACUGGAUGGGCUAGGGGGGCGCGAGCCUUACCAAACCUAACCAAACUCCGAAUACCUGUAAGUACAGUCUGGCAGACAGACUAUGGGUGCUAAGGUCCAUAGUCGAGAGGGAAACAGCCCAGACCACCAGCUAAGGUCCCCAAGUUAUGGCUAAGUGGGAAAGGAUGUGGGAAGGCCAAGACAGCCAGGAGGUUGGCUUAGAAGCAGCCAUCCUUUAAAGAAAGCGUAACAGCUCACUGGUCUAGUUAAGCCGGCCUGCGCCGAAGAUGUAACGGGGCUAAAGCCAUACACCGAAGCUGUGGGCGUGCAUUGCACGCGGUAGCAAAGCGUUCCGUAAGCCUGUGAAGCGUAACCGCGAGGUUGCGUGGAGGUAUCGGAAGUGAGAAUGCUGACAUGAGUAGCGAUAAAGAGUGUGAGAAACACUCUCGCCGAAAGCCCAAGGGUUCCUGCGCAAGGCUAAUCCGCGCAGGGUGAGUCGGCCCCUAAGACGAGGGCGAAAGCCGUAGUCGAUGGGAACACGGUUAAUAUUCCGUGACCUGAUGGUAGUGACGGAUGACGUAAGUUGUGCAUGCUUAUCGGAUUGUGUGUGCAGCGAAGUUGUCCCAGGAAAUAGCUCCAUCGUUAAGACCGUACCCCAAACCGACACAGGUGGGCAGGUAGAGCAUACCAAGGCGCUUGAGAGAACGAUGUUGAAGGAACUCGGCAAAUUGCCCCCGUAACUUCGGGAGAAGGGGGACCUCUGCUUGGGCAACCAGGCAGGGGUGGCACAGAAUAGGGGGUGGCGACUGUUUAUUAAAAACACAGGGCUCUGCGAAGUAGUUAAUACGACGUAUAGGGUCUGACGCCUGCC
rnacentral:rRNA from 1 species